UAACUCGCACCGGCCCGCCCCCGGGCCGAUAGGGCGUGGCAGGGCGUGGCUGUCAAUUUAAUAACCUUUGUUUUAGAAAAAUAUUCAAUAAACUAUCAUAAACUAUAUAUCAUUUGAAAGAUAAAACACUCAAUAUCCACGUUCUGAGCUUGUUUUUUAAAUCAAUACAGCAGAGAGGAAAUGGUUAACAUAAAUACUGAAGGACCGGUCAUUUAAACUUGUACAAAUUGCGUGGCAGUACUUACGUUUCAUCGCCUAUAGUUCUGGUCAGCUCGGACUAUUCCAAGAAACACCAGCACACAUUUCAAGGUAAGGGUCCACUCUUCAAGAUGCAUCCCACUUUUUAAUCCAAAACAACAAAUAAAUAGGGGAAAAAACGAAAGACCCUCCUUUGUUUACAUGCGCGAUUUGAGUUAUAGUUGUAAAUAGCGUCCAUUUUCAAAGAAAUAUCGAUUCUAAAUCGUAAUCCAGCUCUUGUUUCUCAUAGAAUGGUCUCUUCCGAGUAAAAUGAACCCUCCCUCGUCUCUUUCCUUCAAUCACAGGCGAUGUUAUAGCCCAGAACACUCCAGGGGUCACUGACUGGUUUAGCGAGGUGUCAAUCGCCACACCUCUUGUUUGGCUAUUGUAAACUAGCCAAUGCCUAGCCAGCAGAGUUUUGAUCGAUGGAAGUGUUAGCCAACCAUAAGGACGUUUACAGCGAUUCACAGUUUGCACCGUUACGUAAUCAGUUUGAAGAAUCUCCGUGCGCAAAACUUUAGUUUGUUUGUACUUGGAGUACUCAGAUCGCUCUGUCGCGCAGCACACGGGUGUUUGUCAGCGACAGGAUUUUCUCCAGAGCUCACAUCUGAAUCUCUCCAUCAAAGAACGUCGACUUUAGAAGAGUUUUUGUGGUGUUUGAUCGUGUUUUGGUGGGAGUGAUGAGAAGCAGCGGUGACAAGCAGCAGGAAGACGCGCAGAGACGUGUGCCAGCGAGCCAUAUAGCAUUAGCACUGUCUUCCGUAUCCUGUUUGUCAGAGAACAAAGCUUUUUGGUGACUGCCUUGAGUGUCUUCCUACACUGUAAAUACUGUAAAUAGUUUCUUUUAGUUUUUCAGUGACUUGAUUAUGCAUAAUAAUUAGCAAAGAAAAGAAAAAAUACUAUUACAAAAUGUAAAAUGUAAAAAAUAAAUAAAUUUGUAUUUUUCAUUUUUUGUUUAUUUGCUCUAAAAUGCUCACUGAUCAAAUAUGUUUUCAUAAUUAGAAUUGUUCAAAAUAAAGAGUUUCAUUAAAAUGUUCAAAUGUUGUUCUGAUAGUUUUGUUUUUGUGUGUGGUUUCAUGGGUAGAUUUCUGAACUGAUAUUCAUAUGUAGUUUAUGAAGUAUGCAGGCCCAAAUGGAGUCUCUAAAUAGCCUUUUUGAAAGGAUUCCUAGACUUUUCUUGAAAUAAAAGACCUAAAUUACUUUUCCAAAGCUUAUAUUUAAAUAAAAUACCAUAAAAAUGUACUUUCUGCAGGUUUUUACCAGUUUUUUUUUUUAUUUCAGCUUUUAUUAUAAGGUGUCCAUUUGGAGUCCCCAAGUAGCUUUUUUGAAAGGACGCCUAGACUUUCUUACAUAUAAAAGCUUACAGAAACUACAUUUUUGGGAGUAUUAUCUUCAAAUUUGAAUCAAAACAUGGUCAGACAUUCAGCUUUAUGUUUAUGGUAUGUUUAGGCCUUUGGCAUCAAAGUCCCAUCCAUUUUCCCUUAGUGAAUUUCAUUCAAACGUAUCGUGAGUCACUUUCAUGUACGUUUUACCUUGUUUUACUCUAUUACUAUACUAAUUCUGAGAUAAUUUGGCUUCAGAGUAAUAAAGGUUUAAACGUCUAGUUUCAGACAAUACCAGAUUUAUAAAUUUACACCAUAGGGUUCAAGAGCUACAGACAUUUUCAUUUGGGUAUGUCGUUUUUCAGAAAAUGCUCAAAAAUAGGGGCACAGGUUAAGAGGUUAAACUGGUUUUAAGUACUUAAACUCUCCUCAGAAAAUCCAGUAUGACUUCUCUGAAAGUCUCAAAAGCUUAACAGAGCAGCACCAUUUAAUGAAGAAAUGUGGCUCUGUAGUGGACACCUGUGAGGCAGUGGACAGACAGCUGCUGAAGUCUGAUGCUGGUUGACAAUAAACAGACCUCUCUGGACGUACCCCAUCUUUUGCAGAGAAAUUAUACCAUUGCCCUUCCUGUUACAUGAUGAUCCUGCUGUCCUGGACUGUAUAUGAUGAGCCUACACAUAAUCUCAGAACAGCAGUGGUAAUAACAGGAGACCCAUUUGGUGAGAGCAGCACUGCAGACUUUCCUGAUGGAGGAGAUCAUGGACAAUUUUCACAAGACUGAUGAUGUGUUUCAGCUGUGUUUGUAUCGUAAAUCCUCACAAUGUUUGUAUAUUUUGAUUUUUUUUUUAUUAUUAUGUGCAUUUAUAACACUAUACUUUGUAUUAUAACACAUUCAUAUCAAAUUACAGAAAGAAAUAGUUAAUGCUAAUGCAAGGGUGUUUCUAAUCCAGAGUCUUUGGGAUGAAUGCUAAAUUUGACAUUGUUCUCUCUUCUGACUGCUGUUAUCAGUCGCUGUCAGAUUUUUUCCUCUGAUUGAAAGUUGUGAAAAUGCUAUUGUAGAGUUUUUCAUUUUGCUAUUUGAGUAAAUGAGAAUGCAAAAAUAUAUUUAUGAUACUCUCCCAUUCACUGCUCUCGAAGUUAACCCAACUAUAACAACUUAUGCUGCUGAGAAACUGGUUUAUUAAGCUAAAUACAUCUAUCUCGAGGCUUAUCAAUUUCUUGAAAUGUCCUGUGUGAAUUCUCCCAAUCAGUCACCACUAUUUAGAACAGGAAAGAAUAUGUUACUAUUAAUUGCAUUGUGUCUAAAAUUUAAAUCAUUGUUUUAGGUACAUAAAAUGUUUUUUUAAAGUUCUAAGAUUAUUGAGUCACAUUUAUUUGUUUCUAAUUUUAACCAAGGUGUAAAUGCUUUUUUUGUUGUUGUUUAUAGCAGUAUUAACACUGAUGUUGCCAUGAAUGGGACUGUGAUGUGCAGUAUUGUGAUUAUGGAUAUUGUUGUUGUUUAUCAAUAAACUGUUUUAUACGCAUUUGUUUUAUUUUUAAUCAUU